UGGGGGUCUUCUUAUCGAGGAGGCUCACCGCGUGGGUUCCUUGGGAUCCACCAUUUAUCAAUAUAACACCGAAGAUAUCCAUGUCAGAUGACUGUCUUUAUCUCCUCCCUGAACUGCCAGCAUUCCUCUGUAUCAUAUUUGUAGUUGCGGUGGUACCUACAGUACUUCCUCGAAUUUUUUGCUCGCAUCGGAGCAAGCAUCCUCUU
rnacentral:lncRNA from 1 species